ACCUCCAAUCAGUCAAGAAUACCCGCUGAAUUUAAGCAUAUAACUAGGCGGAGGAAAAGAAACUAACCAGGAUUCCCUCAGUAACUGCGAGUGAAGCGGGAAAAGCUCAGACUGAAAAUCUUCGGAAUUGUAGUCUGGAGAAGUAUGGUCAGCCGAUGAUGAUGAGUGAAGUCUUCUGGAAAGGAGCGCCUUGGAGGGUGAUAGCCCCGUUCAUACUUAUCAUUAGAAGCGUACGACCUGCUUUCUACGAGUCGUGUUGUUUGGGACUGCAGCACUAAGUGGGUGGUAAAUUCCAUCUAAAGCUAAAUAUUGGUGGGAGACCGAUAGCGAACAAGUACCGUGAGGGAAAGAUGCAAAGAACUUUGAAAAGAGAGUUAAAUAGUACCUGAAAUUGCUGAAAUGGAACCGAUGGGAAGCAGUGUCGGUGGCGGGUAUUUAUACCUGUCACAAGCCAGGCUUCUUUUCUAGUGCGGGAAAGGCUGAUAAACUAGUUUAGGUUAUCUACGCCGUCGUGCUGGCGAAGGACUC
rnacentral:rRNA from 1 species